GAUGAACGCUGGCGGCGUGCUUAACACAUGCAAGUCGAACGGAAAGACCCAAGCUUGCUUGGGUACUCGAGUGGCGAACGGGUGAGUAACACGUGGGCGAUCUGCCCUGCACUUCGGGAUAAGCCUGGGAAACUGGGCUUACUAUCGGAUAGGAUCACACCUUGGAGGGUGUGGAGGAAAUCUUUCUCGCUGGGGGAUGAGCUUGCGGCCUAUAAGCUUGUUGGAGGGGUAAUGGCCUACCAGGGCGUCGACGGUUAGCCGUCCUGAGAGGGUGUAGGGACGGUUUAGACCCGAGCGACAGCCAAGAGUCGGGCGGGUGGCAGAAGUGGCGAAUGUCGGACCAAGCGAGACCGCGUGAUGGAAGGAGGCCGUCGGGGGGAUGAGGGCUUUUGGGGUGUAAGCACCUUUGGAUGGGAACGCAGCGCUGUUGUGACGGUACCUGAAGAAGAAGCACCGGCUAACUACGUG
rnacentral:rRNA from 1 species